AUAUAUAAACAAAAUCACUCUAAAAUAGUAUAAUCACCCAUCUGAUCUUGGAAGCUAAGCAAGGUUGAGCCUGGUUAGUACUUGGAUAGGAGACCACCUAAGAAGACCAGGUGUUGUAGGCA
rnacentral:rRNA from 1 species